UACAGAGGUGGCAAGCGUUGUUCGGAUUUACUGGGCGUAAAGGGCGCGUAGGCGGUCGUGACAAGUCACUUGUGAAAUCUCCGGGCUUAACUCGGAACGGUCAAGUGAUACUGUCGGACUAGAGUACAGAAGGGGGCAACUGGAAUUCUCGGUGUAGCGGUGAAAUGCGUAGAUAUCGAGAGGAACACCUGCGGCGAAGGCGGGUUGCUGGGCUGAUACUGACGCUGAGGCGCGAAAGCCCAGGGGGAGCGAACGGG
rnacentral:rRNA from 1 species